ACUCAAAUGAAUAGACGGGGGCCCGCACAAGCGGUGGAGCAUGUGGUUUAAUUCGACGCAACGCGAAGAACCUUACCUAGGCUUGACAUGCAUGGGAAAGCCCUGAGAAACCAGGGCCCCUCUUCGGAGUCCAUGCACAGGUGCUGCAUGGCUGUCGUCAGCUCGUGUCGUGAGAUGUUGGGUUAAGUCCCGCAACGAGCGCAACCCCCGUUCCUAGUUGCCAGCGAGUCAAGUCGGGGACUCUAGGAAGACUGCCGGUGCCAAACCGGAGGAAGGUGGGGAUGACGUCAAGUCAUCAUGGUCCUUACGUCUAGGGCUACACACGUGCUACAAUGGCCGGUACAGAGGGUUGCGAGCCUGCGAAGGCAAGCCAAUCCCAGAAAGCCGGCCUCAGUGCGGAUUGGAGGCUGCAACUCGCCUCCAUGAAGCUGGAAUCGCUAGUAAUCGUGGAUCAGCUACGCCACGGUGAAUACGUUCCCGGGCCUUGUACACACCGCCCGU
rnacentral:rRNA from 1 species